rnacentral:lncRNA from 10 species
AAGACAUGGUGAAAUGUUUAGCCAGAAUGACUGAAAACAAUGUCAUUAAGAAUAAAAAGUAAAAAUUGCGAUCAAGAAAAAAAGCAGAAACCAGACCUAGAGAAUCACUUGCAAACCUCAGGUUUUAGAACAGAUAUAUGUCUGAAGAAAUAAGUAAGUUGAGAGGUCAAAUGCCUGGGCUGUCAAGAACAGAUCUGGGAGCAGAGGGUAAGAUAGGUCAGCUGGGGGAGGAGCCAAGAUGGCCGAAUAGGAACAGCUCCGGUCUACAGCUCCCAGCGUGAGCGACGCAGAAGACGGGUGAUUUCUGCAUUUCCAUCUGAGCAUGCAGCAAUAUGGUGGGGACGCAUACUACAGCUGAGCUCUGGACAGGAAGUUUUCCAUUUUAUGAGAAACUCAAACCACCAAGAAAACCAGCUUAUCUCACAAAAUAUUUUUAUACUUCUCUAGAACUCAGUAAGAGGCCCUCAACGGAUUGGAUGAUGCCUCUCCACGGUCCACAUCGGUGAGGGUGAUUGUCUUUACUCAGCCUAUUGAUUCAAACACUAAUCUCUUCUGGAAACACUCUCAGACUCACCCAGAAGUAAUGUUUGGCCAGCCAUCGGAGCAUCCUCUGGCUUAGUCAAGUUAACACAUAGAAUUAACCAUCACAGAAGGCAACAGAAAAACCUUUAAAGAAUCAAUAGAAAAUAUGUGCAUCAGAAAAUAUUGCUGGCUUACCCAAAAGCUAUUUCCCUUUUGUUCCUUACUAACAACUCUUACUUUGUUUAUAUUUGAGGAAGUAAUGUACUUAAGGAAGUUUUGUCUCUAACCCAGCAUUCAAGAAUGCGAAGACAAUCACGUUAAUCCCAUUUCCUCUACCAGUGAUUGGUGUGGAGGUGGGCAUAUCACUCACUUAUAACCAAAAGGUCCUGAGGGGGACUUACUAAGAACUUUUCAGAAAGGUUUUUCUCCAUGAUUAAAAGAAAAAUUGUAAAGGAAACAUCCCUUUCCUGUUUGAAUUCACUUGUGUGAGGACGUGAUGCUUGUAUCUAUGGCAACCAUUCUGUAACCAUGAGAUGAAAGCUAAAAGAAUCACAGAGAAGCUGACCCAAAACCCAGACAACUACAUUGCUGAAUCAGCAAACCUCAGAACUAUUUAUUUCCAGAUUUGUGUUGUAUGAAUAAUGAAUUCUUGUUUUUAGGCUCUAGUAAAUAUUCCAUUUCUUAGAGCAAACAGCAUUCUCAUGGAUAAAAUAUUUAUGAAUAACAUCCAUCUGUUUCCCUUUUAUUCAAUAUUUCAAGGUUAUUGAAAUUAUUAUAAAUAAAAUCAUUAAUAUUAUUUUUAAUCUACAUUUUUAUUUAGGUAUAACUAUAAAUUAGGCAUAACAAUUGAUAGCAUCUGAUAGACAUGAUUAGAGUUCAUGGGAAUAUACAGCUAAAUCUUUACAAAGGUCAUUAUAGCAGGUCAUUUUACAAUGUCUAGAGUCUUUACCAUCUCAUUUAUAUUUUCUCAUUUGAC